AGAGUUUGAUCCUGGCUCAGAACGAACGCUGGCGGCGUGCUUAACACAUGCAAGUCGAACGGGAUUGGGGGGCUUGCUCCUCAAUCUAGUGGCGCACGGGUGAGUAACGCGUGGAUAAUCUGCCCGAUGAUCUGGGAUAACAUCUCGAAAGGGGUGCUAAUACCGGAUAAGCCCACGGGAACUUCGGUUCUUGCGGGAAAAGAGGGGGACCUUCGGGCCUCUUGUCAUCGGAUGAGUCCGCGUACCAUUAGCUAGUUGGUAGGGUAAAAGCCUACCAAGGCGACGAUGGUUAGCUGGUCUGAGAGGAUGAUCAGCCACACUGGAACUGAGACACGGUCCAGACUCCUACGGGAGGCAGCAGUGGGGAAUUUUGCGCAAUGGGGGAAACCCUGACGCAGCAACGCCGCGUGAGUGAUGAAGGCCUUCGGGUCGUAAAGCUCUGUCUAGAGGAAAGAAAUGUAUGGUGGCUAACACCCGUUGUACUUGACGGUACCUCUGAAGGAAGCACCGGCUAACUCCGUGCCAGCAGCCGCGGUAAUACGGAGGGUGCGAGCGUUGUUCGGAUUUAUUGGGCGUAAAGCGCGUGUAGGCGGUUUCAUAAGUCUGAUGUGAAAGCCCCGGGUUUAACCUGGGAAGUGCAUUGGAUACUGUGAGACUUGAGUACGGGAGAGGGUAGUGGAAUUCCUAGUGUAGGAGUGAAAUCCGUAGAUAUUAGGAGGAACACCGGUGGCGAAGGCGGCUGCCUGGACCGAUACUGACGCUGAGACGCGAAAGCGUGGGGAGCAAACAGGAUUAGAUACCCUGGUAGUCCACGCCGUAAACGAUGAGAACUAGGUGUUGCGGGUAUUGACCCCUGCAGUGCCGCAGCUAACGCAUUAAGUUCUCCGCCUGGGAAGUACGGUCGCAAGACUAAAACUCAAAGGAAUUGAUGG
rnacentral:rRNA from 1 species